rnacentral:rRNA from 1 species
GUCGAACGAAGCACUUGCAGCAGACUGGAGAGCUUGCUCAAAGGGAAGCACCCUUUGACUGAGUGGCGGACGGGUGAGUAACGCGUGGAUAACCUGCCUCAUACAGGGGGAUAACAGUUGGAAACGGCUGUUAAUACCGCAUAAGCGCACGAAACCGCAUGGUUUUGUGUGAAAAACUCCGGUGGUAUGAGAUGGGUCCGCGUCUGAUUAGCUAGUUGGUAAGGUAACGGCUUACCAAGGCGACGAUCAGUAGCCGGCCUGAGAGGGUGUACGGCCACAUUGGGACUGAGACACGGCCCAAACUCCUACGGGAGGCAGCAGUGGGGAAUAUUGCACAAUGGGGGAAACCCUGAUGCAGCGACGCCGCGUGGGUGAAGAAGUAUUUCGGUAUGUAAAGCCCUAUCAGCAGGGAAGAAAAUGACGGUACCUGACUAAGAAGCCCCGGCUAACUACGUGCCAGCAGCCGCGGUAAUACGUAGGGGGCAAGCGUUAUCCGGAUUUACUGGGUGUAAAGGGAGCGUAGGUGGCGUGCCAAGUCAGGAGUGAAAACCCAGGGCCCAACCCUGGGACUGCUCUUGAAACUGGCAGGCUUGAGUGCUGGAGAGGUAAGCGGAAUUCCUAGUGUAGCGGUGAAAUGCGUAGAUAUUAGGAGGAACACCAGUGGCGAAGGCGGCUUACUGGACAGUGACUGACACUGAGGCUCGAAAGCGUGGGGAGCAA